CAGCCGCCGCGGUAAUACGAGGGGGGCAAGCGUUGUUCGGAAUUAUUGGGCGUAAAGGGUGCGUAGGCGGCUUGACAAGUCUUGUGUGAAAUCUAUGGGCUCAACCCAUAGUCUGCACGGGAAACUGUCGGGCUUGAGAAUGGGAGAGGUGAGUGGAAUUUCCGGUGUAGCGGUGAAAUGCGUAGAUAUCGGAAGGAACACCUGUGGCGAAAGCGGCUCACUGGACCACAACUGACGCUGAUGCACGAAAGCUAGGGGAGCAAACAGGAUUAGAUACCCCAGUAGUCCCUGUCUUUUAUAA
rnacentral:rRNA from 1 species